rnacentral:tRNA from 1 species
GAGAGUAUAGCUCAAGUGGUAGAGUGAAUGCUUAGUAUGCAUGAGGUCCUGGGUUCAAUCCCCAGUACCUCCU